rnacentral:miRNA from 1 species
GCGCGCGCGGGGCCGGGGCGCG